UACGUAGGGGGCUAGCGUUGUCCGGAAUCAUUGGGCGUAAAGCGCGUGUAGGCGGUCCGGUAAGUCCGCUGUGAAAGUCGGGGGCUCAACCCUCGGAUGCCGGUGGAUACUGUCGGGCUUGAGUACGGAAGAGGCGAGUGGAAUUCCUGGUGUAGCGGUGAAAUGCGCAGAUAUCAGGAGGAACCCCAAUAGCGAAGGCAGCUCGCUGGGACGGUACUGACGCUAAGGCGCGAAAGCGUGGGGAGCGAACAGG
rnacentral:rRNA from 1 species